rnacentral:rRNA from 1 species
ACUCAAAGGAAUAGACGGGGGCCCGCACAAGCAGCGGAGCGUGUGGUUUAAUUCGACGCAACACGCAGAACCUUACCUAGGCUGGACAUGAUGCUGCGAGCGGGGGAAAGCCCGCUGCCUUCGAGGGGGCAUCACCGGUGCUGCAUGGCUGUCGUCAGCUCGUGUCGUGAGAUGUUGGGUUAAGUCCCGCAACGAGCGCAACCCUUGCCGGGUGUUACAGGUGUCACCCGGGACUGCCGCAGCGUUGCUGCGGAGGAAGGCGGGGAUGAUGUCAAGUCCGCAUGGCCCCGACGCCUAGGGCGACACACACGCUACAAUGGCUGGAGGAGCGGGGAGCGACCCGGCAACGGUGAGCCAAUCCCCAAGACCAGUCGUAGUGCAGAUUGGGGGCUGCAACUCGCCCCCAUGAAGGCGGAGUUGCUAGUAACCGCGUGUCAGCAGAGCGCGGUGAAUACGUACCCGGGCCUUGUACACACCGCCCGU